rnacentral:rRNA from 1 species
UACGGGGGGAGCAAACGUUGUUCGGAAUCACUGGGCGUAAAGGGAGCGUAGGCGGCCAUGUAAGUGAGGUGUUAAAUCCCCCGGCUCAACCGGGGACCUGCACCUCAUACUGCACGGCUUGAGUACAUCAGAGGAGACUGGAAUUCCCGGUGUGGCGGUGAAAUGCGUAGAUAUCGGGAGGAACACCAGUGGCGAAGGCGAGUCUCUGGGAUGAUACUGACGCUGAUGCUCGAAAGCUAGGGGAGCAAACGGG